AGCAGGAGGCCUUCGGUGGGGUUUCAGGGCUGAAGCCUGAGCAGGAAAGGAGCCUCCUCUCCUGUGACGGCUGCGUCACAGGGCAUGGGAGAUGCGUCAGGACAACUGUCAUCAUUAGCAGUUACCAUGAAUGGGGCACUCCACAGGAGGGAUAAUGAGGCAGAGGCCAAGAGAGAUCAGGUAGCUCGCUUAAGGUCACCCAGUUAAGUGGCCAAAACUGAUUGCAGUUCCACGUGUACUUGGUUCCAGGUUCCCUCAAGCUCUCGGUGGUCACUCCCAGCCUCAGGAGUCCUAAUUAGCCCUUGUUCUAUAAUACUAGCGCUUUGGGGUGCUACACAUGUUCUAAGCACCGCACGUAAUUAACUCAUUGAAUCCUCCUCAUUUAUGUAGUAGACACCAUUAUUGUCCCAAGUCUACAUAAGGGGCAGUUGAAGUACGAAGCUAGCAAAUAGCUCAGUCACCUUGGAACCUAAGCCCACUGGCGUUAGACACUUGCUCUCAGCCACUGUCCUACAGGCUCUGGAUGGAGGCAAAAGAGUCUGGGUCUGUAGGGCCAGCAAAAGCCACAAAGAGCCAUGAGCAGUUCCUGGGUAGCAAGUUGGAUGGAGCAGCUGAGACCAUCACGAAAGGCCUUUGCCCUGUCAAAGGACCCGAGAUCCUCUUCAGGUCUCUGGACUCUGAAGGACUGUUGAAAAUAAUCUCAUGUAAUAUCCACUGAAUAAAAGGAAAGACCAAGUUGUUAGGCCAAUUCUGGCUUUUCUUACUAGAUUUUCAAGUGAUUGCUAGACAGUUGAGGGCAGGAAAG
rnacentral:lncRNA from 1 species